UUAAGAAACACGUCAGGAUAUUCAACACACCACUGGCUCAUCUCUAGCCAAAACAUCGCCUUCCCCCUCAUAAGGAAGCGAACACCGAGAACACAUGGCCGUUAUCCCUUAAGGAUCACACCAUUUUUCUAACUGACACCAUCCUCGAAUCUGACCUCUCUUCGGGUUCAGGAAAAUCACAAUAUUCUCAAAAUAGUUGAACUAGCCAACACUGCACUCUCCCAUGCAGUAACAUGAUGUCCAAGCUUUCUACAAUUGGAACAUCCAAG
rnacentral:lncRNA from 1 species